UACGUAGGGUGCAAGCGUUAAUCGGAAUUACUGGGCGUAAAGCGUGCGCAGGCGGUUAUGUAAGACAGUUGUGAAAUCCCCGGGCUCAACCUGGGAACUGCAUCUGUGACUGCAUAGCUAGAGUACGGUAGAGGGGGAUGGAAUUCCGCGUGUAGCAGUGAAAUGCGUAGAUAUGCGGAGGAACACCGAUAGCGAAGGCAAUCCCCUGGACCUGUACUGACGCUCAUGCACGAAAGCGUGGGGAGCAAACAGG
rnacentral:rRNA from 1 species